rnacentral:rRNA from 1 species
UACGGAGGGUGCGAGCGUUGUCCGGAAUCACUGGGCGUAAAGGGCGCGUAGGUGGCGUCGCAAGUCAACGGUGAAAGCUCGGCGCUCAACGCCGAGUCGGCCGUCGAGACUGCGAGCUCGAGCACUGUAGGGGCAGAUGGAAUUCCGGGUGUAGCGGUGGAAUGCGUAGAGAUCCGGAAGAACACCGGGUGGCGAAGGCGGUCUGCUGGGCAGUUGCUGACACUGAUGCGCGGACAGCGUGGGGAGCAA